rnacentral:rRNA from 1 species
AUGGCGCUGUUGAGCUCGUGGGAUGGCUCCAACGUCCACGAGGACCACGUCGAGUUCCUCCGCCGGACGCGGCGUCUUCCCGGCGAGAACCUUGUGCGGGUUCGUCAAGCGCCGGCGAGGGAGAUUUCGCCGGCACCGGAGGAGGGCGAGCGGGUGAUCUUCCGCUCGCACUGCCUGCGCGGCUUCGGCCUCCCGGCGAGCGGGUUCCUUCGAGCCUUCCUCGAGUUCUACCACCUCCAGCUGCAUCACCUCACGCCCAACAUGGUGAUGCUGCUGUCGGCCUUCGUCACCCUGUGCGAGGGCUUUCUUGGAGUUCUCCCGACGCUCGAGCUCUGGGGGGAGUUCUUCCAAAGCAAGCUCGGCACCGUCGUCGCUGGCGUGCCCGCCCCCUGCGGAGCUUUCAUUGUCAUGAGGCGGGCGAGUGAGAACAAUCCGUUCCCGUCCAUUCCGCUGAUCCAGUCGGUGAAGCUUUGGCAAAAGUCUUAUUUCUACACGAAGAACGUCGCCCAGCAAGGCGACUACGUCAACCUGCCGGAUUACGUAGUCGGCCCACCGGCUGGGAGGCAGCCUUCGUGGAGCUACCGGGCCAGGUCGCUGUCUCAGGCCGGGAACGCAGCCGUCUCCCGGCUUCGGGUGAUGAUCCAGUCGGAGGGCCUGACCGGAGCCGACUUGGUGGCCGCCUUCGUGGAGCGCCGGGUUCUUCCGCUCCAAGGCCGGCCUCACAUGAUCUGCCAAAUGAGCGGCCGCUGCGACCCGUGCCGGCUGAGCACCAAGGAGAUGCCUCACGCAGAGGUGUCUUACAUGGUGAAUUAUAUCUCCAACUGCAAGCUCGCCGAGGAUUGGUGA